UGGUAGUGUAUUGGACUACCAUGGCGAUCACGGGUAACGGGGAAUUAGGGUUCGAUUCCGGAGAGGGAGCCUGAGAAAUGGCUACCACAUCUAAGGAAGGCAGCAGGCGCGUAAAUUACCCAAUCCUAAUUCAGGGAGGUAGUGACAAGAAAUAACAACUCGGACCUCACAUGAGGUUACGGGAUUGCAAUGAGAACAAUUUAAACCACUUAUCGAGCAACAAUUGGAGGGCAAGUCUGGUGCCAGCAGCCGCGGUAAUUCCAGCUCCAAUAGCGUAUAUUAAAGUUGUUGCAGUUAAAAAGCUCGUAGUUGAAUUUCUGGCCAGCGCUGUUCUUGGCUCUCUGAGUCGGCUCAGUGUUUGGUCAUCCGUAUGGGAAGCUAGCUCGGCCUUCACUGGUCGGCUAGUGGAUCAUACACUUUACUUUGAAAAAAUUAGAGUGUUUCAGGCAGGCAAUUGCUUGGAUACUUCAGCAUGGAAUAAUGGAAUAGGACUUUGACCUAUUUGUUGGUUUCUUCGAGGUCAAGGUAAUGAUUAAUAGGGACAGUUGGGGGCAUUCGUAUUUAAUUGUCAGAGGUGAAAUUCUUGGAUUUAUUAAAGACGAACUUAUGCGAAAGCAUUUGCCAAGGAUGUUUUCAUUAAUCAAGAACGAAAGUUAGGGGAUCAAAGACGAUCAGA
rnacentral:rRNA from 1 species